CUCGUAGGCGGUUCGUCGCGUCCGGUGUGAAAGUCCAUCGCUUAACGGUGGAUCCGCGCCGGGUACGGGCGGGCUUGAGUGCGGUAGGGGAGACUGGAAUUCCCGGUGUAACGGUGGGAUGUGUAGAUAUCGGGAAGAACACCAAUGGCGAAGGCAGGUCUCUGGGCCGUCACUGACGCUGAGGAGCGAAAGCGUGGGGAGCGAACA
rnacentral:rRNA from 1 species